rnacentral:rRNA from 1 species
UACAGAGGGGGCAAGCGUUGUUCGGAAUUACUGGGCGUAAAGGGCGCGUAGGCGGCCCGCUAAGUCGAACGUGAAAUCCCCGGGCUCAACCCGGGAACUGCGUCCGAUACUGGCAGGCUUGAAUUCGGGAGAGGGAUGCAGAAUUCCAGGUGUAGCGGUGAAAUGCGUAGAUAUCUGGAGGAAUACCGGUGGCGAAGGCGGCAUCCUGGACCGAUAUUGACACUGAUGAGCGAAAGCCAGGGGAGCAAACGGG